UCCGCCCGGGGACUACGAGCAAAAGCUUAAAACCCAAAGGACUUGGCGGUGCUUUAGACCCACCUAGAGGAGCCUGUUCUAGAACCGAUAACCCCCGUUAAACCUCACCUUUUCUUGUUAACUCCGCCUAUAUACCGCCGUCGUCAGCUUACCCUGUAAAGGAAAUUUAGUAAACAAAAUUGGUUUAGCCCAAAACGUCAGGUCGAGGUGUAGCGAAUGAAAAGGGAAGAAAUGGGCUACAUUUCCUAAUUCAGGAAAUAACGAAAUACGUGAUGAAACAGAGUAUGAAGGAGGAUUUAGCAGUAAAUAGAAAAUAGAG
rnacentral:rRNA from 1 species